UGUCCCGGUUCGGACCUCAAUAAAAGGCCCCAUCGGUUCCGCCAUGGCCGCGGCGGAAGGGGCGGGCGGAAGGGGCGGAUCCUGCCCCGGGCCGGGCCCAGUAGCCUUGCCAUGGUGAACCUGGGCGUGAGGCGCGUGGAGGAUGAUGUGGCCGCCAAGCACCCGGCGCUGCAGCAGUACGCGGCCUGCCAGUCUCACGCCUUCAUGAAGGGCAUCGGCACCUUCCUGGCAGGUACGGGCCGGUCCAGCCACUCCGGCAUCCCCCUUGGCCGCUCCCCGCGGGCAGCGGGGACGUCCCGGCCGUGUCCGGUAACCCCGGCCUCGGUCUCGGCAGGCAGCGGGGCCGCCUUCGCGGUGCAGAAGUUGGCGCGGCAGAAGCUGCCAUACAGCCCGCAAUGCAGCCUGCUGUUGGCUGCGGUCCCCAGGGCUCAGGAGGGUUCGCGGCAGCAGGUGCUGUCCCCACGGUGGUGCUGCUGGCACUCCCAGGAGCACCUCGGCCGCCCCAGCUGCAGGGUCCCUCGGAAGCUACGUGGUAACCAGAGCUGAGACGCAGAAAUGCUCCAACUUCUGGAUAUAUCUGGAGACAGGCAAGUCCCCACAAGAGCUCGCCAUGACUGAUGGGGUGUCUCAGCCUGCAGAAAACCUUCCUAGUGCAGAAGACAGGGACGGCGCUGCAACACUGGUGAGGAGGAACAGGUAUGGUGACGUGAUGGAGUAGCCAGCAGAGCAUAACCUGCCGUGCCUGUGUCCCACUUCACCCCUUCUUGUCUGCCCAACCUGACGCUGCCCAUGCUGCCCGUGAGGGUGGUGCACUUGGUGACACUUCUGGAAAGCUCAGAGGACUUGAUCCUGCCAGAGAGAGCGUGGUGGAGGCACCUCAGGAAUUGCUGCCAGCCCCACGGCCUCUGCACAUUGCACUGGGGGUACAAUAAAAGUUGAGAGCUGAUUGCA